rnacentral:rRNA from 1 species
AUUGAACGCUGGCGGAAUGCCUAACACAUGCAAGUCGAGCGGGGGUAGCAAUACUUCAGCGGCGGACGGGUGAGGAACACAUAGGAAUCUACCUUUAGGUGGGGGAUAGCCAGGGGAAACUCUGGGUAAUACCGCAUGAUCUCGAGAAAGCACAGGGGCGCAAGUCUCGCCUUUCGAGGAGCCUAUGUCUGAUUAGCUAGUUGGCGGUGUAAUGGACCACCAAGGGGGUGAUCAGUAACUGGUCUGAGAGGACGAUCAGUCACACCGGAACUGAGACACGGUCCGGACUCCUACGGGAGGCAGCAGUGGGGAAUAUUGGACAAUGGGCGAAAGCCUGAUCCAGCAAUUCCGCGUGUGUGAAGAAGGCCUUCGGGUUGUAAAGCACUUUAGUUGGGGAAGAAACAGCUUGGCCACACCAAGCCUUGACGGUACCCAAAGAAUAUGCACCGGCUAACUCUGUGCCAGCAGCCGCAGUAACAC